rnacentral:tRNA from 1 species
GCAGUCAGCUAGCUCAGUCGGUAGAGCACUCGCCCUAUAAGCGAGGGGUCCUGGGUUCGAGCCCCGGACUGUAUGCA